rnacentral:lncRNA from 1 species
CCAACCUCAACUGCACCAUCGCCAUUCUUGCUCUUUUGAUAAGAUAUCGCCCCUGUUCCAUCUAUCGAAACUAUCUCGUGCUUCGUCGGUCUCCCCCAUCCGAAAUCCGCCGCAUCGUAAAAAUCAAACCGGGGUGAACCGGCGGUGGUAAUUGUUCUAUCAGUACUAGGCUGCAGUAGUGUAUUCAAGAUUCUUGAGACCCAAGUCUCUGCACCCUCGAAAAGGGUCUUGUCCAAACUUUUUAUAACUUCACUAAUUGCAUUCAAGGCCACUAACAGUCCAUCUUCUCCCUGUAGGUCUUUUGUUUUCGCAACUACUCCAUGUCCUGCGAUGCAAUUCCCGAAAUAGGUUGGUGGUAGAGGAGGGUCUAAGCGCGACCGGCAGUCCACGUGAAGGAUGAAUACUACUUUCUCUGUCUUGAUCUCUUCAGCCCUGACU